rnacentral:rRNA from 1 species
GACGAACGCUGGCGGCGUGCUUAACACAUGCAAGUCGAACGGAAAGGCCCUGCUUUUGUGGGGUGCUCGAGUGGCGAACGGGUGAGUAACACGUGAGUAACCUGCCCUUGACUUUGGGAUAACUUCAGGAAACUGGGGCUAAUACCGGAUAGGAGCUCCUGCUGCAUGGUGGGGGUUGGAAAGUUUCGGCGGUUGGGGAUGGACUCGCGGCUUAUCAGCUUGUUGGUGGGGUAGUGGCUUACCAAGGCUUUGACGGGUAGCCGGCCUGAGAGGGUGACCGGCCACAUGGGGACUGAGAUACGGCCCAGACUCCUACGGGGGGCAGCAGUGGGGAAUAUUGCACAAUGGGGGGAAGCCUGAUGCAGAAACCCCGCGGGGGGGAUGACGGCCUUCGGGUUGUAACCCGCUUUCGCCUGGGACGAAGCGUGGGUGACGGUAAUGGGGAAAGAAGCACCGGCUAACUACGG